rnacentral:rRNA from 1 species
GGGUUGUAAAGUACUUUCAGCGGGGAGGAAGGUGAUAAGGUUAAUACCCUUAUCAAUUGACGUUACCCGCAGAAGAAGCACCGGCUAACUCCGUGCCAGCAGCCGCGGUAAUACGGAGGGUGCAAGCGUUAAUCGGAAUUACUGGGCGUAAAGCGCACGCAGGCGGUCAAUUAAGUCAGAUGUGAAAGCCCCGAGCUUAACUUGGGAAUUGCAUCUGAAACUGGUUGGCUAGAGUCUUGUAGAGGGGGGUAGAAGUUCCACGUGUAGCGGUGAAAUGCGUAGAGAUGUGGAGGAAUACCGGUGGCGAAGGCGGCCCCCUGGACAAAGACUGACGCUCAGGUGCGAAAGCGUGGGG